rnacentral:rRNA from 1 species
UACGAAGGGGGCUAGCGUUGCUCGGAAUUACUGGGCGUAAAGCGCGUGUAGGCGGGGCUUUAAGUCAGGGGUGAAAUGCCAAGGCUCAACCUUGGAACUGCCUUUGAUACAGGAGAUCUUGAGUCCGGGAGAGGUGAGUGGAACUGCGAGUGUAGAGGUGAAAUUCGUAGAUAUUCGCAAGAACACCAGUGGCGAAGGCGGCUCACUGGCCCGGAACUGACGCUGAGACGCGAAAGCGUGGGGAGCAAACAGG